CGGGGUGGGAGGGGCGGCUGCUGGGGCAGCUCCACGCCUGGCGGCGGCGGCGGCGGCGGCGGCCCGACUCCCCUUCAGCGCGGAGGCGCCAGAGCUGGCGCUGUCACAUGAUGCGGUUCCUGGAAAGUUCCUGGAAAGCAGCCUGUGCAGUCACCAGCGCGGAGAGGCGGGGGGCGCCCCGGGCUAAAUACGUGCACGCGGCUCCGCGCCGCCGGGGCGGCCCGAGCCCGCUCCCCUGAGCGGAGGCCUGCGCGGUGGGGGGGGGGGAGAGAGAGGGGCUCCCCGUCCGCCUCCCGCUUCGCCCCGGCGCCCCCUGCUCCGCGCAGCCACAGCCCAGCGAAUAAGAGCAACCUGCUUGCCCCCCACCUGAGCCCGCCCGGCGGCCCCCGCCUGGCUUCUUGUCUCCAAGUCCCCUCCCCGCCCCCCCGCCCGGCUACUGACCCAGGGACGCUGGUGAGGCGAAGGCUGCGGCCGGGCGCCCCGGGCAAGGGGCUGGGGGCAUGUCCGAGCGGCGCUGAGAGCCGGGCGCCGCGGGGCUGGAGCGGAGCCUUCCCGGGCGACUUCUGCCUCCCCCCCAAAUGACUCUGCGCUCUUCCGAGUCCUCGGAUGGUGCGGAGCGGGCCGGGGCCGAGUGGCGGGGUCCCGGGGCUGAGGUGACCGAGAGGGCGGCGGCGGCGGAGCGCCUGGCCGCGGCCAUGGAGGAGCUGAGGCGGGCAGGGUGGUACUGGGGCAGUAUGAAUGUUGCUGAAGCCAAAGAGAGAUUACAGGAUACUCCUGAAGGUACUUUCUUGGUUAGAGACAGCUCCCAUUCGGAGUACCUACUGACUAUCUCUGUAAAAACAUCAGCUGGACCAACCAAUCUGCGUAUCGAGUAUCAAGACGGCAAAUUCAGACUGGACUCCAUCGUAUGUGUCAGAUCUCGGCUUAAACAAUUUGAUAGUGUGGUCCAUCUGAUUGAAUACUAUGUUCUUACAUGCAAGGAUAGAAAAACUGGGCCUGAAACUCCAUCAAAUGGAACAGUGCAUCUUUAUUUGAACAAACCUCUAUAUACUUCAACUCCAUCUCUGCAACAUCACUGUAGAAUAACUAUAAACAAAUGUACAAAUAAGAUCUUGGAACUGCCUUUACCAACAAGGUUAAAAGAGUACUUGAAAGAGUAUCAAUACCAGGUAUAAAUAUCUUUUCUAAAUAUGUCUCACAUAGAGUAACUUUGAAUGCAACUAUUAAGAUCAGCCAAAGAACUGAGUAUCCAGCUAUAUAAUUCAGCAUAGAAUUUAUUAUUAAAAUAGGGUCAGUCGGGGGGGAGCGAGAGGGAAGGUUUGGAUUUUAAAAUGCCUCCAAAUAAGGUUCUGCGCACAGCCUUCCCAAAUCAUAUAUUUGAUGGGAGUGGAGGGGGUAAGGCUGCAGUCUCUUUAACAAGGUAUGUUGGCAUCAUAUUAACUUGUGAGGACUUGAGAUCCUGUCCAAACUGUAGUGUUAUGUUUGAAGAAAAUGGUGUAGAGCACUGUAAUGGCCACCAUUGGUACAUAAAAUAGCAAAGAUGAUAUUUGUAUUGCAGUAGCUCCCAGAAGCUGUAAAUGGGAUGAAGACCCUACUCUCAUAAGUGUGCGUGUGUGUGUACACACAUAUAUAAUUUAGAAUGAGGCACAGAUGCAUGCACACACACACACGUGUGUGUGUGUAACAGUAGGGUAAUAGAAAUAUGUGUUUACAUAGGGGAACUGGUCCACUGUUUUUUUGCUCUGUCAUCAUUUUUAUAAACAGGCAAAGGGUUAAGAUUAUCUUAAUGUCUACAUUUUUCAAAUAGAACAGAGCUUGAACAAGGACUUCCAAGACUCACUAUAAGCUAAACCUGUCCAGGUUGAAAUGCUGCAAAACAAACUGGGGUUCUUGUUUUUGAGCAAAACUCCUUUAUGCUACUGUCCAGACCCAAUAUCUAUUAAUCUAAAGAGACUUCAGUCUAUAUGACAAGAAUCCCCCAACUCAGGCUCCAAGGCCCAUUUGAAGCAUUUUCAGAGUUGUACUUUUUCUUUUUCAUUGGGAUUUUUUUUUCUUUCUGUAUUUGAUUUUUCUAGAAGUGCACAAGAGUAGAGCUCUCUGAUCCCAUCAUGCCUUCUUAGUCUAACCACUGGUCUGUUUUCUGGGGAACCCUAAUUCUGGAGUACUUUGGGACCAAGGCGUCAUGUAUGGCAUGCUGGACCUGGAGAUUGCUGCAAGGCUCUGUCUCCCAGUAGCAAACCAGAACAUUUGGCAGCAGCUACCAAAGUCUCCCUCUAUUCUGCUAUUUACUUGUUGCAUGUAUAUUUUCAGUAUUUGCAGAUUCACUUGUAUUGAAAACACAUGACUACACUACAGUUAUUGGCUGGAAAUUUCAGUUGGGUGGGGGGUGGUUGAGCUCAUGCGAGAUGAUCUUUUAGCUCCAGUGGCUUUUAGUGCUUUCUGUCUCCUCCCUGCUCUUCCCCCACUCACCAGAUCCAUUGAGAUGUGCUACUACUGCCAACAGCAAGCUCUUAUGCUUGCUGAUAACUAACUGCUGGUGGUGUGGUUUGUUGGGUUUUUUUGUUUUUGGCAAAUGUGAUAUUUAAUGGUCAUUUGGCUUCAGGGAUGCCACAGGGUGGAGGGGAGGUAUUGUACUAAGUUGUGGGGGGAGGGGAAGGAGAGACUACACACUCCUAAAGAUAGUCCUUACCCUCACAAAGAAUCAACCAUGUGUUAGAAAAGUGGUUCAAACAAAUUAGAGUUGUUUUGGGGAGUAGGGUUGUUAGGAGACAACAGUAAGUUAUUGACUUAGUACAAUGAAUGUGAGUCAUGGCUUGCCAGUGACAAUGGGCCAGCGGGUGUCUUGUAGGCCUCGCAGCAUAGUUAGAUGAGUUUUUGUUGGAGGCUUUCCAGUGUAUAUGGGUCAGCAAAAGAGAAGGUGAAGACUGGGAAUGUCAGCCAAGUGAAGGAGACAGUACCUUAUUAUUCUAUCAAUCAGCUAGGUAGAGUGGGAUUAGAAGUGCUUCUUGGCAGGGCUGGAUUAACCUUUUGUGGGCCCAGUGCCAAACAUAUUUGUGGGCCCCCAUGGAGGCAAUGGAGCAUGGUGCGGGGAGGUCAGUCUCCAGAGCGAGGGGACAGCUAGAGGCAAUGGGGCAUGCCAUGGCGGGGGCGGCCCUACUCUGCCCAGUGUGAGGGCACUAUUUACAAACUGGCAGUUGCCAGAUGCACAGUGGCCUGCCCAGCCCUAUGCUGCCAGCAUGCCUCUUCCCCUUGGGGGCAGGCCCAUGCCACAUCACACAGUCCCCCUGCCCAACACCCCUCCCAACUCCCUAUGGCCAGAGCCCCCCCAGACCCACCCACAAAUGCACAGUGCCCUGCACAGCACCACCCCUGCCACAGCCCCACUACAACUGCCCAGCACCCUCCCACAUGCCCUAACACACACACCUUCCCCACCCCCUCACAGCGCAGCCCCACCCCCAGCUCCCAAGAGACCUACUCCCCCACACCCUGCUUCCUGGCCACACUCACUGGCCUGCUGGGAGGCAACUGUGUCUGCAAGGCUGAGCUGGCAGCGCAGCCAAGGCUGGUCCCAGGGCCAGGAAUUGCUCCUUCUCUUCAGGAGAGGUGCGAUCAGCCAGGCCAGAGUCUGCCCUUGCCAGGCUCUCUCAAGAUGCACUUGCCUAGAGGGGCUUAGCCAAGGCCCCCACAUUGUCUUUCUGCUGUGCCCUCUCCCCCCUCCCCUCCUCGGCUGAGACUGGCCAGACGUCUGCACCAGUCCCAGGUGGCUCAGCUCUGGGGAGACAGGAAGGGCCCCACAGGUGGUAGGAAGCAGAGAGGCAGAGGUGCACUGGGGUCCGGCCAGGGGGUGGGGCCAGGGAGCGGAGAGGAACCCUUUGCCACCUGGCAGGCAGGCCAAGAGGAGCAAGUAUGGGGGGGAAGCUAGCAGGGUCUUGGGGCGCAGUGCAAGCAGAGCAGGCCAGGGCCCCUUCUGAGCAUGGACCUGGCUCCGUGGAGCCACUGGCGCCAUUGCAAUCCAGAACUGCUUCUUGGUAAAGACAAGCAGCUUGUGCUUAAUGUACUGGAGGGACAUAGUGGUGGUGGAUGUGAUGUGCUUUGAAGAAACAGCAUUUUGAAUAGAUGUGAGGGCAAACAUCCUCCCUAUGAAAGCCUAGGUCAGUGGUUCUCAAACUUUUGUACUGGUGACCCCUUUCACAUAGCAAGCCUCUGAGUGUGACACCCUCCACCCCCUUAUAUAUUUAAAGUGUUUUUAAUUUAUAUUUAACACCAUUAUAAAUGCUGGAAGCAAAGCGGGGUUUGGGGUGGAGGCUGACAGCUCACGACCCCCCCCCAUGUAAGAAUCUUGCGACCCCCUUAGGGAUUCCAAUUCCCAGUUUGAGAACCCCUGGCCUAGAUCUUGUCUACAUUACGGACCUUAACACUGGUUCAGCUAGGCUGGUGCAAGUCCCUGGUGUAGACAGUACACUGGUGUGACUUACCACAACUUGAAACCAAGGUUAAUUGCACCAGUGCAAGCCCCACUUCAUACUCAUACAGUACAGCAGGCUGUGGUAAAUUGCAUAGAUGCAAAAAUCCCUCAUGUAGAGUAGUUCUUCGAUUCUAGGGCACAAUCAUGAGGCAAACUUCUUAAAAAGCAGUGGGAGUAGGGUGGCUUUGUGGAUUUUGCUGCAAUGCUUAGAAUGUUAAUCUUUAAACUCAUAGCUCUCUCAAUUCCAAAUCUGACUCUAACUGCUGUAAUGUUGCCUUGAAUCUGUAGUAAGCUCAAACAGACUGAAUCAGCAUUGCUAAUCCUAAAUGCUCAAAAUAUGAGAAUCAGAACACAAAUCACGAGAUUGCAUUAAAUCCGGAGUCUUAAAAAAAAAAAAAAAAAAAAAAGUGCUGGGUCUUGUUUGCUUUUUUGAGCAUUGAAGUUCCAUAUUUUCCAGUUCUUCCCUGCAAUGGUAAGGGCUAGAAAUUUAUUAUUUUUAAUUAAUUGAAAUCUGAGAUUCUCUCAAUUGCAGGAGGGUGGAACUUCAAGGAAAAAACCCUCUAAGUAUUGAAAGACUCAUGAUGAAAAUUACAAGUUGGCAGUACAAAUACCGAGUGUACUAAAACUCCGUACUGAAGUGUGAAUUUGGAGGCUCCAUCUUUAAUUGUUCAAUAUGAAGGGUUUCAGUGCUGCUUAUACCAUAGGCAGGGAGAAUAAAUGGCUCAUCUACAAAAUGGGUGGAUGGGGUGGAAAUGUAACCAGGCAGCUGUAUCCAUCCCGUUAAAUUUUAAUCUGACCUCUUUAAUAUUGUAAUUUAUGUAAUAUUCUGAGUAAACACUCCCUAUAAUUACUGUGUAGAAGGUGUGGAGUUGAGAAGGGAAAAUAGUGUGGUCUUCCAUUCUAAUGAGCCAGUCUUUCUUUGCCCACAGCAUGGAAGUAUAAGAAUUAGCCCUUCCUAAAUAAAACAGGAUGGGCAAUGUUCUAUUAGUUACCCACCUUGGUCAUGGCUCAGACAAACUUCCAGUAGGUAAUUUCCCUUACUACAGAAGCUUAUACCCAAUAGUGGAGUUAAAUGAAGCAUCUUCCUGUUUCAGCCCAAUUAGUUUUAUAAGUUUGUUUUGUUUUGCAUACGUACAAAAGGAUCUAUUGAUAUUAUUCCUAUUGAAGCCUUCUCAGCAUGUGCAGGAUUUAUCGUUUUCUCCUCCCCUCAAAAUAUUUGAUAGGAAGAGAGCAUUUAGAAUUGGGUGUCUUUCAUGAAUAGUCUAUUCAUGUUUCAAACAUGGUUGCCUUUCUAUCACUAAAAUAAAUUCUAGGCAUUAUACUGAUGCAGCCAAAAUGCAUAAAUUAAAUGUUUAAAAGGGUUCUCUAAUUUGUUUGCGAUUUGAAACCCAAAUAAGUUUUAAGAAACCUUUUUGUGCAAGAAGAAUGGCUUGAACAACAUUGUAGAAAUUGUGAUAUAUUCUAUUGCAUAAAAACAUUCCUUCAAUUUCCAAACCAACAGUAUAAUUAGAAACCACCUCCAUGAGUGAGCUAGCCAGUCCACACAAAGGAAGUGGGUGUGAGAAUGCCUGUUAUCUUGAUCUGAAGAUCAUGAAAACCACUUCUUCGUGCUGCCCAAUAUUGUCUGAUUGUUUCCCAUCUGUUGUCUCUUAUAUUGUAUGGUCAUGGGAGCAGGGACUGUUGUCUUGUUCGUUGUUUGUACAGCACCUAGCACAAUGGGGUCCUGGGCUGUGACUAGUGUUCCUAGGUACUAUAAUACUAAUAGUGCAGGUGGAGAGUGAGUUUAAAGAUCCCCCGGAGGGGCAUGCAGGGGAAGAGAAGAAAUAACUGAAAUCCAUAUAUGGCUUUGCCUAUAAGACUGAACUUAAAAGACCAAGCACAUGGUAAAAACAUGUGGCUGUUGGGUUCUUAGCGGGGCAGAGGGCAAGGACUUAAUUGAUUAAGAAAUACAAUAAAUACCUAAUAUGCUGAAGAAGAGACAGUUUACAUAGAGUCUACAUAUUUCCAAAGAGCGCUUUAGAGAGCAAUAAGAAACUAUCAGACUUAUAGUGUCUGACUUCAGUGAUAAACCAUGUGGCUCUUUAUUGCAGUCAAAAAUCUAAAAUAAACCCUAUUUAAAAAGGAGAGGGUCUUCUUCUCCCCUGUCCACCCCCCCACACACACACUUGGGACCAACCAAGAAUGAAUGAAUAAAUUGAAAAAUGCUCCAGAAACUGAAUGUUGAGGCAACAGCAUUAAGAAAAAAAAAUUAAACUACAAGAACAAAAGCUGUGUAUUUGUAGAGCCCUGCAAAUCUGUAGCUAUCUACUUUAUACCCACAGACCAUGUUUGCAGAUACAAAAUUUGUUAUCGGCGCAGAACUCUAUGUAGUUGGGGAUGAGAAACAAGCAGAGAUUUUAUUAGAAAAGAUUGGGAUGGCUAUUAUGCAGGAAGUUUUCCGUGUUGACUCUGAUACACAGUUAAAAUAAGAAAACAACCAAAUCAAAUGUGUGCCUCUAUUUUUCUUUCACUGGCAUGGCUUAUAUAAAUGAUUAUUUUGUUUUGGAGCAAAUUGGCUUUCAGCAUUAAAUAAUUGAGGCUUAAAUUCUGCCUGCUGCAGAAAAAUAAAUGUCUGAAAUAUGCUUCAUAUAGGACCAGUCCAAAGUCCAUAGAAAAAUUCCUAUUGACUUCAAUAGGCUUUAGAUCAGGCUCUAUAGUCUCUGUGUGAGAAACAGUUGCAUGGUAUAUUGCUUUGUCAGAACCACUGUAAGAUCACUUUAAUUUUAACACAUACAACCACAUUUAAAUAUACAUGUUCAGGCCCCAGUCCUACAAUCAGAUGGAGUCAGUCUUUCAUUGAGUUUGAUGGGCUUUGGAUUUGUUCCAUAAUUCAGGGUGGGCUUUUCUGUUACCCUUCAGUACUGUAUAUCACUCAUUGCUGAAAAGUUUCCCACGUAAUAUCUGAAUCUCCACAAAACCUCUACUCAUUUCUCAUCCCAUAAUACAUAGCACAGAGGUUCCACAUGUACAGUUCUAACUGUGGGACUGUAGCCAUAAUUAAUGAUAUAAUGGGACAACUUUCCUUCUCCUCCCCAGCAAAGAUGGACAUAAUUAAAAUACCAUCUUUAGUAAGGAAAAAGUCAUGGAUCAUUAUUUCUGAGAUUGUUUUGUUUUGUUUAUAGAAUUCCUUGUUGUUUCACUUUCUUAUAUGAAAAGCAGUUUUAUACAGGACUUAGCCUUUAUAAGAUACAAUCUAUGUGUGCUUAUAUGUAAGGAUUGUGAAGGUUUGUAUUGUUAAUUACAUUUUUGUUAAUUGUUUUAACUCAGUUAUACUUUAAUAAUACCUGCCAUGAAUUUAAGCUACAGUGGUGGUAAUGUCUUUAUAUGGGUAUGCUUUGGUGGGGAGAAAUGAAAAUAAGAAACCAAGCAUCAUAUGUGACUUCAUUACACAAGCAAUAGCAACAGAAUGCCUGUCUGAGGGAAAUUAGUUGAAGUACUUCAGAGGGACAUUAUCUGUAAAGAAAGUUGCUUGCGUUAAGAUCAGUGUUUUGAAGACAUUCAUCUGCUCUCUCUUUGCUCCCUGAUUGUCUCCGACAACAUAAUGAAUCCACAGCAACGUCAAAGAAAACAGUAGUUUCACUACAACCAGGGAAUAAAUAGAGUAGUAGAGAAUUGGAGGAGCCUGGUUUGUUUUAAAAUGGAUCCUGUAGAAAAUGACAAGUCUCUGAAUACACUACUUUGCAAAACUUUCUAUGAGUCAUGAAUGUCCUCUUAAAAUGUACCCUGAAAGUUUUAGCCUUUUAAAAAUGUAACGUAUAUUGAUUUGGCCAUUUCAAAGUUGGGAUAAGAAAUAUAAGCUUACCAAAAUAAGGUACUUAAUUUCUUCCUUUUAAAUAGUAAAACCAGGUUUCUAAUCUUCCCUGUAUUUAAAAUGCCAGGCAACUACUUUUAUGUUUGAUAUGUUGUAAUUUGUAAAUAAAAUAGGGCUGAAAUUUUAUUUCAAACCCAACCUGACUCUUAAUUUUCUUUCCCUUAUUGGUCAAAGUCAGAUGUUUAGGGUUAGUUUGUAUAUGUGGUUCAAUAUGUCUGAUUCACACACUAUUAAAAUAAUUGCUUUUCAUUUUAAUUUUUUUCUGUAAGCCUGAAACAUUAAACAUUGAGAUUUUUCAA